rnacentral:sRNA from 1 species
AGCAGCCGCGGUAAUUCCAGCUCCAAUAGCGUAUAUUAAAGUUGUUGCGGUUAAAAAGCUCGUGGUUGAAUUUCGGGGUUCUACCGUUGGUCAGGCUAUAGUCUGUACUGGCGUGUGGAAUUUCUACCUUCUGGGGAACUAUCAUGUUAUUAAUUUAGCGUGGUAGGAAACCAGAACCUUUACCUUGAAAAAAUUAGAGUGUUCAAAGCAGGCUUAUGUCUGAAUACAUUAGCAUGGAAUAAUAAAAUAGGACGGUGGUCCUGUUUUGUUGGUUUCUGAAUCACCGUAAUGAUUAAUAGGGAUAGUUGGGGGCAUUAGUAUUCAAUUGUCAGAGGUGCAAUUCUUGGAUUUAUUGAAGACUAACUUCUGCGAAAGCAUUUGCCAAGGAUGUUUUCAUUAAUCAAGAGA